rnacentral:rRNA from 1 species
ACGAACGCUGGCGGCGUGCCUAAUACAUGCAAGUCGCACGCUUCUUUCCUCCCGAGUGCUUGCACUCAAUUGGAAAGAGGAGUGGCGGACGGGUGAGUAACACGUGGGUAACCUACCCAUCAGAGGGGGAUAACACUUGGAAACAGGUGCUAAUACCGCAUAACAGUUUAUGCCGCAUGGCAUAAGAGUGAAAGGCGCUUUCGGGUGUCAUUGAUGGAUGGACCCGCGGUGCAUUAGCUAGUUGGUGAGGUAACGGCUCACCAAGGCCACGAUGCAUAGCCGACCUGAGAGGGUGAUCGGCCACACUGGGACUGAGACACGGCCCAGACUCCUACGGGAGGCAGCAGUAGGGAAUCUUCGGCAAUGGACGAAAGUCUGACCGAGCAACGCCGCGUGAGUGAAGAAGGUUUUCGGAUCGUAAAACUCUGUUGUUAGAGAAGAACAAGGACGUUAGUAACUGAACGUCCCCUGACGGUAUCUAACCAGAAAGCCACGGCUAACUACGUG